CCCUUAGAUGUUCUGGGCCGCACGCGCGCUACACUGAUGCAUUCAACGAGUUUCUUCCUGGUCCGAGAGGAAUGGGUAACCUUUUGAAAGUGCAUCGUGAUAGGGAUAGACUAUUGCAAUUAUUGGUCUUCAACGAGGAAUUCCUAGUAGACGUAGUUCAUCAGACUGCAUCGAUUACGUCCCUGCCCUUUGUACACACCGCCCGUCGCUCCUACCGAUUGAAUGCUCAGGUGAGCCAGUCGGACUUUCAUCAUGCUGGUUUCCAGUUUUGAUGAAGGAAAGUCUUGCGAACCUUAUCAUUUAGAGGAAGGAGAAGUCGUAACA
rnacentral:rRNA from 1 species